UCCCAAAGUGUUGAGUUCAGUGCAGGUUGCUUUCUCCUGUUCUGGUAAUUAAACUUUGGGAAAGUGAAAGGCAAGGGGUCUUUAUAUGGUGGCCAUGUUUGUGUGCGUCCGCCAGGAGACUCCAGGCUGACAGUC